UAGUCCACGCCGUAAACGAUGGUCACUAGCUGGUGGGCUUUAGGGUUCAUUGGCCAAGCGAAAGUGAUAAGUGACCCACCUGGGGAGUACGUUCGCAAGGAUGAAACUCAAAGGAAUUGACGGGGGCCCGCACAAGCGGUGGAGCAUGUGGUUUAAUUCGAUGAUACGCGAGGAACCUUAUCAAGACUUAAAUGGGAAUUGACAGGCUGAGAGAUUAGCUUUUCUUCGGACAAUUUUCAAGGUGCUGCAUGGUUGUCGUCAGCUCGUGCCGUGAGGUGUCAGGUUAAGUCCUAUAACGAGCGCAACCCCUAUCAUUAGUUGCCAGCGAGUCAAGUCGGGGACUCUAAUGAGACUGCCAGUGUAAACUGUGAGGAAGUGGGGAUGACGUCAAAUCAUCACGGCCCUUACGUCUUGGGCUACACACGUGCUACAAUGGUCGUUACAGAGGGCAGCUACAUCGUGAGGUGAUGCUAAUCUUGAAAGCGAUCUCAGUUCGG
rnacentral:rRNA from 1 species